GAAAGAGGCAGUUCUCAUUGUUGACAAGCAAACGCUUCAAGGGGCGGUAAACGGAAUCUCCCACAAGACUCUUUUCAAUGGCUCUAUUUUGCCUAGCAAGUGUGCGCUCCAGAUAGGAAGAGGGACAGAGUUCAGCCAUUUCACUGGAUACAUGGACGAUAUCACCGUGUAUUUGUGUCGACCGAAAAACUUUUAGCUAAUCGGUUGACACCGCUCUAGCAUCAUCUGUUUCCUAGUGCCUACGAUUAUUUAAAAAAAGAUUUCGCCUUACGCCUGCACAAUAUUGACCAAAAUGAUUGUAAAAUAAUUUUGAUACUUCACUUCACCUUUGCUUCCGUUUAUUAAUCAUAAUAAUAUUCAUGCUACAUGAGAACAGGGUUCGCCUAUGAUUCGAAAUCAUUUUUAUUUAAUUAAUAUUGAAAUCAGAAAUUGUAGUGCUUUAUUUAUCGUCUGUUCUUGAGUUCAUGUUGGAAAAGUUUUUGUCAUAACUAUCAACUUCAUCCCGG